GCCGGAACCCUACCUGACACGCUAAAAUCACCUGCCGGGUAUUGCCACAACCACUUGGUGGACACUCCAGCAUCAUCUGCCGGACAUGCCAGAACCAGCUCUCAGACACACCAGAACCACGUGAGGACACGCCGGAAGCACCUGCUGAUCAUGCCUGAGCCACAUGCUCGACUUGCAAGAAACACCUGCCAGACACGCCAAAAUCACCUGCCCGGUACGCCACAACCACGUGGCGGACACUCCGAAAUCACCUGUCGGGCAUGCCGGAACCAACUCUCAGACGUGCCAGAACCUCGUGCCGGACACGCCAGAACCACCUGCCGGAAAGACCGGAACCACCUGCUGGACACGCCAGAAGCACCGGCUCGACUCGCCGGAACCAUUGCCGGACAUGCAAAAUCACCUGCCGGCUACGCCAGAACCACUUGGCGAACACUCCGGAAUCAGCUGCCGGGCAUGGCGGAACCACCUCUCAGACAUGCCGGAACCACAUGCCAAUGACACCGGAAGCACCUGCGAGCACGCCAGAACCACCUGCUCGACUCGCCAAAACCACCUGCUGGACACGCGAAAAUCACUUGCCGGCUACGCCGCAACCAUUUAGUGAACUCUUCGGAAUCACCUGCCGGGCUGGCUGGAACCACCUGCCGGUCACGCCAACAUCACCUGCCAGCUAUGCCAGAACCAAUUGGCGGACACCAUGGAAACACUGUCGGGCCGGCCGGAACCACCUAUCAGACGUGCCAAACCAUGUGCCUGAGAUGCCGGAACCACACCGAACAGACCGAAACCACCUGCCAGACCCGCCUGAACCACCUGCCGAGCACGCCAGAACCACCUACUCGACUCGCUGGAACCACCUACCUGACACGCUAAAAUCACCUGCCGGGUACGCCAGAACCACUUGGCGAACACUCCGGAAUCACCUGUCGGGCCUGCCGGAACCACCUCUCAGACUUGCCAGAACCAUGUUCCGGACACGCCGGUACCACCUGCCGAGUAUGCCGGAACCACCUGAUUCACUCCCCAGAACCACCUGCUGGACACCCCAGAAUCACUCGGCAGACACUCCGUAACCACCUGCCGGGCAUGCCGGAACCACCUCUCAGUGGUGCCAGAACCACAUGCCGGACACUCCGGAAUCACCUGCCGGUCAUGCCGGAACCAUCUCUCAGACGUGCCAGAACCAUGUCCCGGACACGCCGG
rnacentral:lncRNA from 1 species